UACUGCUGAAAACUGGAUGAAUGUAAGUAUGCACUUAAAAAUAAUGUCUAAAUAAUGUGUUAUAGCUGUAGCAAAUGUAGUGUGUAAACAUGGACUCUUUUCAUACUAUAUUCAGAGAAUAAAACAAUAAAUUUAGAAAUGGUAACUACACUGAUUAAAGCUCAAAUGUCAUGUGUGUUUGUGGUCACAGGGAGAAAGGACAUAGGCAGAUGGAAGCAGUAUUUUUAGGAGGUGUUGAAAUUAUGAAUGAGUUAUACAUGUAUAUAUUUGUAUAUAGUGCCUUGGCACUGCUUGUGUAAUAUGAAAUAGACUUUUCUGAGAAAAGCCAGUGGACUCCUUCAGUCCUCCUUUAUUUAGAAUCCAUUCCCUCACUGAGAACUUGGGAGUACCAGGUACAUUGCAUAAUAUGCAUCAUCUUCCUGGAUCUUCCCAGCAACCCUGGAAGGUAAGUCCCAUUAGAGGCUUAGAAAGGUUGAGUAAGCUAUAUGACCCAAGUCUAAUGCAGGCUAGAUCGUGACUUUAAAUUUUGUGUCCCAAAUUUAUCUCUUUUACUUUCAUCAGAUUUUGAUGUUUUCAUCUGAGAUAGACAAAGGAGAUGACAGGCAAUUGCCUGCCAGUCUCUCUAGCUCUGAGUGAAAUAAAGCAGUCUUGCUUGCUCUGUGCAUUUUCCUGUCUGUGAAGCCAAUGGUUUUGCCUGUCUUAUUCACUACUAUAGUCCGAGGGCCUAUCAUAGAAGGUGUUCAAGAAAUAUUUUUUAGUAGAUCUUUUUGCCUUUGGAAUGAAAUCCCUCUCCUUACGAAUACAUCUUCUUCCUAAACUCCAUCCUCUCUGCUUGGCUACAUGGUCAACAGUCUAUGAAAUAGCUGAAAGAGUUAGAGAGGUGUCUGUAGAUGAGGUAAAAUAUUAGCUGUGUAAGUAUUUAGAAGACUCUGAAGUGCUCUUUAAAAAUAUAAAGUAGGUGGGGCAUGGUGGCUCACAUCUGUAAUCCCAGCACUUUGGGAGGCCAAGAUGAGAGGACUGCUUGAGCCCAGGAGUUCAAGGCCAGCCUUGGCAAUAUAGCGAGACUCCCAUCUCUACAAAAAAAAAAAAAAAAUCUUUUAAAGUUAGCCAGAGAUGGUGGCAUGUGCCAGUAGUCCCAGAACUCAGGAGGAAUGCGGAGGGAGAAACACUUAAAGCCCAAGAGUUUGAGGCUACAGUGAGCUGUGAUUGUACCACUGCACUCCAGUCUGGGCAGCAGAGCAAGCAAGACCCUAUCUCACAAAAAAAGAGAAAAGAAUAAAAAAAGUAAGGCAUGAUUUUAUUUUCUUCAGGCCAAAUAAAAGCAUGUGUAGAAAACUGAGUUCACUGUCUUUCCGGAAGAAUGUGUCUACCAACUAAUUUAUUGAGGAUCAAUUUUGUUAAAGAGAUUUCUGAUGCUGUUUUAUUUAACCUAACACCUUCAGGUGUAAUUUGUACUGCACUGAUACUCUGCAAGAAGAGUAUCAGUAACUUUUUCAAGUAGUAAAUGACAGAAGCCUAUUUCAAACAGGUUUUGGGGAAAAGGGGAAAUAUAAUUGCCAAUUAAAGAUAUGCUGGAUUCCAGUGCAUCAGGCUUUCAGAACCCUCCCCCCACCCCUGCCCCUCUCUGUCUCUCUCUCUCUCUCUCUCUGUGCAAGAAACAGAGUAAAAGUGAAUUUAAUAAUGGCCAUUAGUAAAGGUAAAUAGGUUCAUAUCCUCUGUUUAAGGGUAUAAUCUAUGCUAGAAAGAUUUUUAAAGUGGUAAAAUAAUUUUAACUUUUAAAUUAAAAUUUUAAUUUCAAUUUUUAAAAUAAAUUUCUAAACAGGAAAUAUUCUCUAAUAGUGUUGGUUACAUGAGCCAUUUGCAGUAGGAGCUUUGCAAUAUUUUGACAUAUGUGACAUCCAACACUCAGGACAGUCCUGAAUUAGAGACCUCAGUAAUUGCUGGUAACAGACAGGAUUUAUUUUUGUAAAUAACCCAAUUUUAGUAACCCUUGAAGAAUUCUCAUAAUAGGUUAACACCAAGAAGUGCAAAAACUCAAGUCCAUGGAACUGAAAAUCACUUGCACAUAAGAAGCAAAGGGACAGCUUGAAUAUCUGAACAAAUGCACAGACCAUCACUCCUCCUUCAUAUCACACUUUGAGAACUAAAGCAAAGGUACUGUGGAGUUGAGAGCAGUGAGGUCAUGAGCAAUUCCCAAUAUUUUUAAAAGCCCAAGGAAAUAACUCAUUAAUUUGUUAAUACUGGUUUGUGUUUGUUUUUGCUUUUGUUUUUGUUUUGAGACAGUCUCGCUUUGUCAACUAGGCUGGAGUAUAGUGGUAUGAUCCCCGCUCCCUGCAGCCUCUGCCUUCCAGGUUCAAGUGAUUCUCCUGCCUCACCCUCCCAAGAAGCUGGCAUUACAGGCCUGUGCCACCACACCCGGCUAAUUUUUAUAUUUUUAAUAGAGACAGGGUUUCACCAUGUUGGCGAGGCUGGUCUCGAACUCCUGACUCCACGUGAUCCACCCACCUCAUUCUCCCAAAAUGCUGGGAUUACAGGGGUGAGCCACCACACCCAGCUUAAUUUGUUAAUACUUUAUAAACUAUCUAAAAUGUUAAAUAAACUGUGCUUCAAGUUGGAUUUACUUUCUGAUUCCUGUUGAUCAGCAGUUUUUAUUUGUGACUUGUAUAUCUUUGAUCAAUAGAAAACUGAUACAAGGAAUUAAGGACUCACGAAAACGGUGAUCAUUUAUUUUUGGAUCAGAUUCUUUCCAAACAUCGGAUCCUUGGACAAAAGCAACAAAAGAGACAUUCCUUGUACUAAAAAGGCUGGAUACCAGUACUUCCAUCAGACUCCCUAUUUUAAUAGCAAGCCUGGUGAGGGAGUUCCUUCUGAAGGCUCACACUGGCUUAACUAACAUUGACUACUGUGUUAGGAUUAGUCAUUGCUGACUGUGCCAGCCUGCAGCCUCAUAAUCAGAGCCUUGUCACCAAGCAUGGCUGCCUCAGUGACUGGAAUGGAAAUGAAAAUAAAGCAAGUGUUAUUUUCCUCAUCCUGAAGCAACAGAGAACUGCAUCAGGCUUACCAACAUGAACGUGGGUAAGAAGGAGUUUUGAAGUCCAGCAAAGAUUUUAUAGCUAGUGAGGCUGGCUGGAAGCAGGGUCGAUCUGGUCUGAUGUGUUGCAAGAUGUGAACUUAUUAAGGCAUCACAGAGGCAACUCCCAGCGGGGGUGGAGGAGAGCAGCAGGGAUGGAAAGGAAGAAGACUCUCAAGAUAGGAUGCUCCAAAGGAUGAUUGGAAGAGAAGGGUGAUGUCUGGAAGCGAUAAGCCUCAGAUGUUUGUUUGCACCUUACUGGAAAGCCAUGUAAAUUAAUGGAAACUUCCUGGCAAAAUAGCUUGACUUGUAGCAACUUCACAACCAUAACAAUCCAGAGGUGAGGUUUGCCCGCACCCUAUUCAUUUCAAUCCCGAAGGCAAUUUUCCCCUUGGCCAGAGAGAAGCUCAAGAACAAAAAACCAAACACCGCAUGUUCUCACUCAUAGGUGGGAAUUGAACAAUGAGAACACAUGGACACAGGAAGGGGAACAUCACACUCUGGGGACUGUUGUGGGGUGGGGGGAGGGGGGAGGGAUAGCAUUAGGAGAUAUACCUAAUGUUAAAUGACAAGUUAAUGGGUGCAGCACACCAGCAUGGCACAUGUAUACAUAUGUAACUAACCUGCACAUUAUGCACAUGUACCCUAA
rnacentral:lncRNA from 10 species